rnacentral:rRNA from 1 species
UAAGCGACUAAGCGUACACGGUGGAUGCCUAGGCAGUCAGAGGCGAUGAAGGGCGUGCUAAUCUGCGAAAAGCGUCGGUAAGCUGAUAUGAAGCGUUAUAACCGACGAUACCCGAAUGGGGAAACCCAGUGCAAUACGUUGCACUAUCGUUAGAUGAAUACAUAGUCUAACGAGGCGAACCGGGGGAACUGAAACAUCUAAGUACCCCGAGGAAAAGAAAUCAACCGAGAUUCCCCCAGUAGCGGCGAGCGAACGGGGAGGAGCCCAGAGUCUGAAUCAGUUUGUGUGUUAGUGGAAGCGUCUGGAAAGUCGCACGGUACAGGGUGAUAGUCCCGUACACCAAAAUGCACAGGCUGUGAACUCGAUGAGUAGGGCGGGACACGUGACAUCCUGUCUGAAUAUGGGGGGACCAUCCUCCAAGGCUAAAUACUCCUGACUGACCGAUAGUGAACCAGUACCGUGAGGGAAAGGCGAAAAGAACCCCGGCGAGGGGAGUGAAAUAGAACCUGAAACCGUGUACGUACAAGCAGUGGGAGCACCUUCGUGGUGUGACUGCGUACCUUUUGUAUAAUGGGUCAGCGACUUAUAUUUUGUAGCAAGGUUAACCGAAUAGGGGAGCCGUAGGGAAACCGAGUCUUAACUGGGCGUCUAGUUGCAAGGUAUAGACCCGAAACCCGGUGAUCUAGCCAUGGGCAGGUUGAAGGUUGGGUAACACUAACUGGAGGACCGAACCGACUAAUGUUGAAAAAUUAGCGGAUGACUUGUGGCUGGGGGUGAAAGGCCAAUCAAACCGGGAGAUAGCUGGUUCUCCCCGAAAGCUAUUUAGGUAGCGCCUCGUGAACUCAUCUUCGGGGGUAGAGCACUGUUUCGGCUAGGGGGCCAUCCCGGCUUACCAAACCGAUGCAAACUCCGAAUACCGAAUAAUGUUAUCACGGGAGACACACGGCGGGUGCUAACGUCCGUCGGGAAGAGGGAAACAACCCAGACCGCCAGCUAAGGUCCCAAAGUCAUGGUUAAGUGGGAAACGAUGUGGGAAGGCACAGACAGCCAGGAUGUUGGCUUAGAAGCAGCCAUCAUUUAAAGAAAGCGUAAUAGCUCACUGGUCGAGUCGGCCUGCGCGGAAGAUGUAACGGGGCUAAACCAUGCACCGAAGCUGCGGCAGCGACACUUAGGUGUUGUUGGGUAGGGGAGCGUUCUGUAAGCCGUUGAAGGUGACCUGUGAGGGUUGCUGGAGGUAUCAGAAGUGCGAAUGCUGACAUAAGUAACGAUAAUGCGGGUGAAAAACCCGCACGCCGGAAGACCAAGGGUUCCUGUCCAACGUUAAUCGGGGCAGGGUGAGUCGACCCCUAAGGCGAGGCUGAAAAGCGUAGUCGAUGGGAAACAGGUUAAUAUUCCUGUACUUGGUGUUACUGCGAAGGGGGGACGGAGAAGGCUAGGCUGGCCGGGCGACGGUUGUCCCGGUUUAAGCGUGUAGGGGGAGUGACCAGGUAAAUCCGGUUGCUUAUCAACCCUGAGGCGUGAUGACGAUGCACCACGGUGCAGAAGCAGUUGAUGCCAUGCUUCCAGGAAAAGCCUCUAAGCAUCAGGUAACAUUAAAUCGUACCCCAAACCGACACAGGUGGUCAGGUAGAGAAUACUCAGGCGCUUGAGAGAACUCGGGUGAAGGAACUAGGCAAAAUGGUGCCGUAACUUCGGGAGAAGGCACGCUGGCGUUAGGUGAAAGGACUAGCUCCUGGAGCUGAAGCCAGUCGCAGAUACCAGCUGGCUGCAACUGUUUAAUAAAAACACAGCACUGUGCAAACACGAAAGUGGACGUAUACGGUGUGACGCCUGCCCGGUGCUGGAAGGUUAAUUGAUGGGGUCAGCCGCAAGGCGAAGCUCUUGAUCGAAGCCCCAGUAAACGGCGGCCGUAACUAUAACGGUCCUAAGGUAGCGAAAUUCCUUGUCGGGUAAGUUCCGACCUGCACGAAUGGCGUAAUGAUGGCCAGGCUGUCUCCACCCGAGACUCAGUGAAAUUGAACUCGCUGUGAAGAUGCAGUGUACCCGCGGCAAGACGGAAAGACCCCGUGAACCUUUACUAUAGCUUGACACUGAACAUUGAGCCUUGAUGUGUAGGAUAGGUGGGAGGCCUUGAAGUGUGGACGCCAGUCUGCAUGGAGCCAACCUUGAAAUACCACCCUUUAAUGUUUGAUGUUCUAACUCGGCCCCAUGAUCUGGGGUGAGGACAGUGUCUGGUGGGUAGUUUGACUGGGGCGGUCUCCUCCCAAAGAGUAACGGAGGAGCACGAAGGUUAGCUAAUCACGGUCGGACAUCGUGAGGUUAGUGCAAAGGCAUAAGCUAGCUUGACUGCGAGAGUGACGGCUCGAGCAGGUACGAAAGUAGGUCUUAGUGAUCCGGUGGUUCUGAAUGGAAGGGCCAUCGCUCAACGGAUAAAAGGUACUCCGGGGAUAACAGGCUGAUACCGCCCAAGAGUUCAUAUCGACGGCGGUGUUUGGCACCUCGAUGUCGGCUCAUCACAUCCUGGGGCUGAAGUAGGUCCCAAGGGUAUGGCUGUUCGCCAUUUAAAGUGGUACGCGAGCUGGGUUUAGAACGUCGUGAGACAGUUCGGUCCCUAUCUGCCGUGGGCGUUGGAAGAUUGAGAGGGGCUGCUCCUAGUACGAGAGGACCGGAGUGGACGAAUCACUGGUGUUCGGGUUGUCAUGCCAAUGGCAUUGCCCGGUAGCUAAAUUCGGAAGAGAUAACCGCUGAAAGCAUCUAAGCGGGAAACUUGCCUCGAGAUGAGUCUUCCCUGGGGCUUAAAGCCCCCUGAAGGAACGUUAAAGACUAUGACGUUGAUAGGCUGGGUGUGUAAGUGCAGCGAUGUAUUGAGCUAACCAGUACUAAUGAUCCGUGAGGCUUAACCU